rnacentral:rRNA from 1 species
GCUGGUACGUCAUUAGCACGCUAUGUUAGAGCUCACCGUUUCUUUCCAGCUGAAAGAGCUUUACAACCCGAAGGCCUUCUUCACUCACGCGGAAUGGCUGGAUCAGGGUUGCCCCCAUUGUCCAAAAUUCCCCACUGCUGCCUCCCGUAGG